UUCGUGUCUCUAUGCCGAGGCAAAACCUAUGCUCACUCAUUUUUUGGUACACAAGGGCCUAGCUGAGAAUAAAAAUGACCUUCAAAGCUUAAAUUUGAAGUGAGGUUCUCUUUGGAUAUUUGGAUAAAAAUUGUACAUUGAUGAAGCUGAAUGCAGAGAGAGUAUAUUGUCUAAAUCCCUCUCUGGUGCCGCAUGCAGCCACAUGUUGCCACACAUUCUUCGCUCUUUUGAGUUACUUUUUGAAGUCGUAUAACACGGUCGAGUUUGAGACAUAGAGGAUACCUCAAGAAAUUUCCCACCUGAAUAACUUCUUGCCACAAUUUUUUCAUGUGCUUUACCGACAGCUUUCAGCCUACCCUUUUGACCAAUCACAGGAGGGAAACUGACUGAACCAGCUGUUUUCACAUCGCUGAUGUGAUCAAUGUGUUGCGCAGAAACUAACCCUGGUUUUGAUCCAACCUUGUUCCAGAAUGGAAAUGAUUGUUGCAACUUUGAUGGAACCUGACAAGCCAAAUGACAACGAUAAAAUAUUCAAGAACUUGCUAAUAAUCAACUCAAACAGUUUCAAUUCUACAUAUUGAAAUGAGGUGCAAUUAGGAUGACCAACGUGACAUAUGUUUUGCUCCUUGGCACAGUGUUACAAGCACACCGAGAUAUACAGUUAUACACAAUCACUAGCAAUUUCAUAUGCCUUCACAAAACAUAUAUGCACUAAAGGUAAAGAAUAAAAUGUUACAUGAUUUGUGAGCAACAGACAGUGAAGCAGUACCCAAAUUUCAACUUUAGAGUUGGUGAUUGUAAUUUGAAUAAUAUUGCAAAAGAACGAUACUUUGACACAAGAAUUGAU
rnacentral:lncRNA from 1 species